AGCUUUAGGGCUAGCCUCAAGGUGAGAGAUACGGAGGUAGAGCACUGAAUGUCCUAGGGGGUAUUGCACCUACCGAAGACUAUCAAACUCCGAAUGCCGUCAUCUUAUACUUGGGAGUCAGACUGUGGGUGAUAAGAUUCAUAGUCGAAAGGGCAACAGCCCAGAUCGUCAGCUAAGGUCCCUAAAUGUAAGUUAAGUGGUAAAGGAUGUGGGAUUGCACAGACAACCAGGAUGUUGGCUUAGAAGCAGCCACUCAUUCAAAGAGUGCGUAAUAGCUCACUGGUCGAGUGAUCCUGCGCCGAAGAUUUCCGGGGCUAAAACUUACUACCGAAGCUACGGCAUCAGUAAUGAUGGGUAGGGGAGCUUCCCAUACGGGUUGAAGCGUGACCGUAAGGACAUGUGGACAGUAUGGGAGUGAGAAUGUUGGCAUGAGUAGCGAGAUGUGGGUGAGAAUCCCACAGGCCGUAAACCCAAGGUUUCCAGGGGAAGGUUCGUCCGCCCUGGGUUAGUCGGGACCUAAGCUGAGGCCGAAAGGCGUAGGUGAUGGACAACAGGUUGAUAUUCCUGUACUACCGAUAACCGUUUGAGAGAAGGGAUGACACAGUAGGAUAAGCUAAGCACACUGUUGGUUAUGUGUGCCCAAGCAUUGAGGCAGUCAAAGUAGGCAAAUCCGCUUUGAUAAUGCUGGGAUGUGAUGGGGAGCGAAAUUUAGUAGCGAAGUAGCUGAUUUCACACUGUCAAGAAAAGUCUCUAUCGAGGUUAAAGGUACCCGUACCGCAAACCGACACAGGUGGGUGAGGAGAGUAUCCUAAGGCCAGCGAGAGAACUGUUGUUAAGGAACUCGGCAAAAUGACCCCGUAACUUAGGGAUAAGGGGUGCCACCAUCAGGUGGCCGCAGAGAAUAGGCCCAAGCGACUGUUUACCAAAAACAUAGGUUUCUGCUAAGUCGCAAGACGAUGUAUAGGAGCUGACGCCUGCCCGGUGCUGGAAGGUUAAGGGGAUCUGUUAGAGCAAUCGAAGCAGUGAACUUAAGCCCCAGUAAACGGCGGCCGUAACUAUAACGGUCCUAAGGUAGCGAAAUUCCUUGUCGGGUAAGUUCCGACCCGCACGAAAGGCGUAACGAUUUGGGCACUGUCUCAACAACAGACUCGGUGAAAUUGUAAUUCCGGUGAAGAUGCCGGAUACCUGCGACAGGACGGAAAGACCCCAUGGAGCUUUACUGUAGCUUGACAUUGGGUCUUGGUACUACAUGUACAGGAUAGGUGGGAGGCUUUGAAACCAGGACGCCAGUUUUGGCGGAGCCAUCCUUGGGAUACCACCCUUGUAGUACUGGGACUCUAACCAUAGGCCAUGAAUCUGGUCUUGGGACACUGUCAGGUGGGCAGUUUGACUGGGGCGGUCGCCUCCCAAAAGGUAACGGAGGCGCUCAAAGGUUCUCUCAGUACGGUCGGAAAUCGUACGUAGAGUGUAAAGGCAAAAGAGAGCUUGAUUGCAAGACAUACAGGUCGAGCAAGGAUGAAAAUCGGACUUAGUGAUCCGGUGGUUCUGCGUGGAAGGGCCAUCGCUCAACGGAUAAAAGCUACCCUGGGGAUAACAGGCUUAUCUCCCCCAAGAGUCCACAUCGACGGGGAGGUUUGGCACCUCGAUGUCGGCUCAUCACAUCCUGGGGCUGUAGUAGGUCCCAAGGGUUGGGCUGUUCGCCCAUUAAAGUGGUACGCGAGCUGGGUUCAGAACGUCGUGAGACAGUUCGGUCCCUAUCCGUCGCAGGCGUAGGAAAUUUGAGAAGACCUGUCCUUAGUACGAGAGGACCGGGAUGGACGUACCUCUGGUGUACCAGUUGUCCUGCCAAGGGCAUGGCUGGGUAGCUAUGUACGGAAUGGAUAAGCGCUGAAAGCAUCUAAGCGCGAAGCCAACUUCAAGAUAAGAUUUCCCACCGCAAGGGUAAGACCCCAGAAAGACUAUCUGGUUGA
rnacentral:rRNA from 1 species